rnacentral:lncRNA from 1 species
AAACACAUAUGAACCUCGUUGGAAUCCCAAACCAGCUCUGCUUUUGUUGUCGACGACCUCUACCAUCUGGCCCGACUAAUCAGAAUUACCAUCUUCAACAACCUUCUGCACAUCCUUGAACGAGGACAUAGGUGCCCCAACUCUAUUUUCUUCAGCAAUAGAUAAGGCUUGGAACGGAUUUCCAAUCUCAUCCUCAGCUUCUACAUAAGAGAAAGAUGAUAUGUGGCUUA